rnacentral:pre_miRNA from 1 species
UAUAUACUUCAUCCGUCCAACAAAAGAUUUCUCAAGUUUGUCGAAAUUUGGAUGUAUCUAGACAUGAUUUAAUGUAUCUAUGCAUUCAAAUUUAGUCAAAACUGAAACACCUUUUGUUGAACGGAAGACGUAGUAU